AGUGGGAUAGCUGGGUCAAAUCAUGGUUCCAUUCCCAAUUUUCUGAGGAAUCUCCAUACUACUUUCCAUAGUGUUGCACCACUUUGCAGUCCCACUAGCAAU
rnacentral:pre_miRNA from 1 species